CCAAAAUCUAUAUUUUUCUUCAACCAGAAAUAUCUUACAUGAUUUAUUUUUCUCAUAAUCACUCAUGACAGAAGUAUUUAAUCACUACGUAUCUUCCCAGACUCGUUUUUCUCCAGACUCUUCUCUCUGCAGUUAUUUUCUACUUCUGUCAUUGGGCAGAUGCCUUAUGCUUUUUCAAACACUCCUAUCCAAAAGCUCUCUCUAUUCUUUGGCUCAAUUUGCCUGCAAUUCCUUCACCAGGACAUUGACUCAUUGACUUGGGUUGCCUUUUAUUCACAUGGGUAUAUGAGCUCAUGGGCUUGAAGCCAAACAUACGUAUAUAUACAUGAAUUGGAAUUUUGCAUUACAUUAAACUGUGAAACAGAGAAAUUGGGCAAAAGCAGUAGCAAUUUUGCUUUUCAGAGAUUUAAUUUUGGGAUGUGAUGAUGCUUUUUUCUUUUUUUCUAGUUAUUUAAUAUGUAUUUUAAGGAAGCUUUUUUGCUAUCCUGUUUCACUUCCUAACAUGCAAUCUAGCCAAUUAAAUCAUGAGUCUGAAACUUCGAGGCCUGGAGUAAGUUCUUUACCGAGGGACUGGUUCACUGUUGUGUUGAGAACAGAUUCUGGAUGCCAUGGUGGAAGCAGGAAGACCAAUUUCAAAGAUAUUGGAAUAAUUCAGGGCCUGCUUUGGCUUCCAGCCAGAAACUGUGCUUCCCAUCCUGUCAGAAUUGUCACCCUGCAGGCUGCAACCCUUUAUUAGAAAUGAAGCUCUCCUUUCCAAAUUUAAAAAUAAAAAUAAACCAGGUCUGGGACUUUCUCA
rnacentral:lncRNA from 13 species